rnacentral:rRNA from 1 species
UACGAAGGUCCCAAGCGUUAUCCGGAUUUAUUGGGUUUAAAGGGUGCGUAGGCGGUCUAUUAAGUCAGUGGUGAAAGCCCCAAGCUCAACUUGGGAACUGCCAUUGAUACUGAUGGACUUAGUACAUUUUGAGGUGGGCGGAAUGUGUCAUGUAGCGGUGAAAUGCUUAGAUAUGACACAGAACACCGAUUGCGAAGGCAGCUCACUAAACUGUAAACUGACGCUGUGGCACGAAAGCGUGGGGAGCAAACAGG